CCUACGGGGGGCAGCAGUGAGGAAUAUUGGUCAAUGGGCGGGAGCCUGAACCAGCCAAGUCGCGUGAGGGAAGACGGUCCUAUGGAUUGUAAACCUCUUUAGGCGGGGAGCAAUGCCGGGCACGCGUGCCCGGAGGGAGAGUACCCGCAGAAUAAGCAUCGGCUAACUCCGUGCCAGCAGCCGCGGUAAUACGGAGGAUGCGAGCGUUAUCCGGAUUUAUUGGGUUUAAAGGGAGCGUAGAUGGGUUGUUAAGUCAGUUGUGAAAGUUUGCGGCUCAACCGUAAAAUUGCAAUUGAUACUGGCAGUCUUGAGUACAGUUGAGGUAGGCGGAAUUCGUGGUGUAGCGGUGAAAUGCUUAGAUAUCACGAAGAACACCGAUUGCGAAGGCAGCUUACCAAUCUAUAUCUGACGUUGAGGCACGAAAGCGUGGGGAGCAAACAGGAUUAGAUACCCUUGUAGUC
rnacentral:rRNA from 1 species